rnacentral:misc_RNA from 1 species
AACGCACAUUGCGCCCGCUAGUAUUCUGGCGGGCAUGCCUGUUCGAGCGUCAUUUCAACCAUCAAGCCCCAGGCUUGUGUUGGGGGCCUGCAGCUGCUGCAGCCCUCUAAAAGCAGUGGCGGGCUCGCUGUCAUUCCGAGCGCAGUAGUUACAUCUCGCUCUGGACGUGGCAGUGGGCGCCUGCCGUGAAAUACUCUUUUAAGGUUGACCUCGGAUCAGGUAGGAAUACCCGCUGAACUUAA